GACCUCGUAGCUCAGUUGGUAGAGCAUUGGACUAGUAUGCCAAAGGCUGUGGGUUUGUUUCCCACCAUGGUCA